UACGAAGGGGGCUAGCGUUGCUCGGAAUCACUGGGCGUAAAGCGCACGUAGGCGGAUUGAUAAGUCAGGGGUGAAAUCCUGGAGCUCAACUCCAGAACUGCCUUUGAUACUGGCGAUCUUGAGUCCGGGAGAGGUGAGUGGAACUCCGAGUGUAGAGGUGAAAUUCGUAGAUAUUCGGAAGAACACCAGUGGCGAAGGCGGCUCACUGGCCCGGUACUGACGCUGAGGCACGAAAGCGUGGGGAGCAAACAGG
rnacentral:rRNA from 1 species